AUUGAACGCUGGCGGCAUGCUUUACACAUGCAAGUCGAACGGUAACAGGCCGUCAGGUGCUGACGAGUGGCGAACGGGUGAGUAAUACAUCGGAACGUGCCCAGUCGUGGGGGAUAACUAGUCGAAAGCGUUGCUAAUACCGCAUACGAUCUACGUAUGACAGCGGGGGACCUUAAGGCCUCGCGCGAUUGGGGCGGCCGAUGUCAGAUUAGGUAGUUGGUUGGGUAAAGGCUCACCAAGCCAACGAUCUGUAGCUGGCCUGAGAGGACGAGCAGCCACACUGGGACUGAGACACGGCCCAGACUCCUACGGGAGGCAGCAGUGGGGAAUUUUGGACAAUGGGCGCAAGCCUGAUCCAGCAAUGCCGCGUGCAGGAAGAAGGCCUUCGGGUUGUAAACUGCUUUUGUACGGAACGAAACGGCUCUGGUUAAUACCCAGGGAUAAUGACGGUACCGUAAGAAUAAGCACCGGCUAACUACGUG
rnacentral:rRNA from 1 species